CCCAUUUGCCCCUCUUCACUUCCCGCCUCCCCACCUCACCGCCGGCGAGCGAUGCCUCCCCCGGCGGGGCUGCUCCCCUGGCCAUCGCCGUCGACGACGCGCCUUACCACUCCAACCCCAACUCGCCCUCCUCCUCGCACCACCCGCGUCCGCCCGCCUCCUCCUCCUCCCCCCUACACUCGCGUCCGCCUUCCUCCCCCUCCGCCUCCUACAACGCCACCACCGCCUCGCCUCGAGCCCGCCGCGCCAAAACCAACCACCGCCUCCACCCCACUGCCUCCCUCCACUGCCUCCACCGCGUCUUCGUCGUCCACCUGCCUCGAUUGCGUCCACUUCGGGAAGUGCUCAGGGUGCACGCACGAGGUGGACCUCGACAAGCCGCCGGUGCUGCAGGAGGUGGAGAAUUUCUUCAAGGGCCACGGGGUCGGAGAUUUCACCUUCAGCAGAGGCAGGCUGUCCCAAUGGCGGUGCCGGGCAAAGUUAGCAGUUCGUGGAACACCAGAGAACCCGUUGAUUGGUUUAUACCAGGAAGGGACGCAUGUUGUUACAGAUAUUCCAGAGUGCAGAGCUCACCACCCAAGCAUUAAUGCUGCUGUUAAGCUGCUAAGGCAAGGUAUAUCCGAGUUGAAUAUCCAACCAUUUGACGAGGACGCUGGAACUGGUGAACUCAGAUAUGUUCAGAUGGCUGUGACAACAUACAACACAUCUAUUCCAGUUGAUAAAAGAUAUGAGCAAGGGAGAGUUCAAAUUUCGUUAGUUUGGAAUUCAAGAGAUGAGCGUUCCCAAAAUGCAGAGAAGUUGGCUUUAUUGAUAGAAUUCUUGUGGAGAAAUGGUGGGCCAAAGAGUAGUGUUCAUCUGAUCCAUUCCAUAUGGGCCAAUUUUCAGACAUCAACCAGCAAUAUAAUUUUUGGGCACAAAUGGAGACAUCUCAAAGGGGAGAGAGACCUGUGGGAGCGUUAUGGAGGAGUUGAUAUUUCGCUGGACCCAUGUAGCUUUGGCCAGGCUAAUACUCUGUCAUUUAACUCUUUGCUGCAUAAGCUGAACAAGUAUGUACCGCGUGGUUCAACAGUUGUUGAUUUGUACUCUGGUGCUGGUGUCAUUGGACUAUCGGUUGCUGCUUCAAGGAAAUGUCGGUCUGUGAAAUGUGUUGAGAUUAACAAACAAUCGAAGAUGUCUUUUGAGAAAUCAGCAAGCCGACUUCCAACGAACCUGGGUUGCACCAUCACUUGGCACAAUACUGAUGCUUCAGUUGAACCUGUUCACUGGCUUGAAGGGUCAAGUGUCGUUAUUGUGGAUCCUCCCAGGAAGGGAUUGCACCCAUCUGUUAUCAUUGCUUUACAGAAAGUUGCGUUGUCGGAGCGCAAGGCAUACAAGGCUAAAAGUUCACUUGCAAAGGUUAAGGAUGAGAAGAGACCAUGGAUCUUACGGGCAAGGGAGGCUGCUGUUCAUGUUGAUAAUACAACGACAGAAGACAGCAGUGAAACCUGGCCUGAAACCCUUAUAUACAUUAGCUGUGGGUGGGAAAGUUUUAAGAAGGACUGCAAAAGCUUGAUAUCCAGCAAGGCCUGGCAGUUGGAGAAUGCCCAUGCUUUUAACUUCUUCCCUGGCACAGAUAGCAUUGAAAUCCUCGCGAUCUUCAAACGGGAAUCAGAAGCUGGUCAAAAGAAAAAGAAGAAAGCAAAAAGGAAGAAGGCCAAGUAGACUAACAGAAGGCUGACCGUACUGUAACUGGAAGGCUGACGUGGUACGGCCAUAGAUUUUCAUGCUGUGGGUUUUGCAAACCUUUUUUGAAACGACAGUUUUGCAAAUCUCUAAUGCUGGUCCAGAAGAAUACUUUCAUUGGUGCUCUGAGGAAUUUUACACGCUCCAAACCAAUCAACUCAGUGAUCUGUGACUAGCGCAUCGUAAUUGGACACAAGGUUAGGCUAGGGUGCUCAUGUGCGAAAUGACUGUCCGCACCUCCUAAAGCAGACAACUCAAGGCGGGAAUUUCAGGGUGCGUUUGGUUGGGAGAUGAUGUAGGACGGGACGGUCCUGUCCUACUUUUCUGGGAUAGGAUGAUCCUAUUUCUUGUUUGGUUAGAGGGACAGGGGCGUCCCUGUUUUUUGUUUGGUUUGAGGGAUAAAUGUGGGAUGGGAUGAUCCCGUUUUCUGUUUGGAUCGAGGGAUAGCUGGUUAUGAUAACCUUCUGCAGAAUCAUGGUGACAUUACCUCCUACCUGUCAUACCUUCCUUCUUUCUAAGGAUAAUCAUGGUGACAUAAUA